AUACUUACCUGACAGGGGAGACACCAUGAUCGGAAAGGUGGUUUGCCCAGGGCGAAGCUCAUCCAUUGCAUUCCAAGUGUGCUGACCCUGUGGUUUCCCAGAUGGGGGAAACUCAACUGCGCAAUUUGUGGUAGUGGAGGACCGCACUGACACUCUCCC